ensembl:lncRNA
AUGUAUUCGAUUGAUGAAAGAAGCUGUUUAUGUCUGUGUGUGUGUGUGUGUGUGUGUGUGUGUGUGUGUGUGUGUGUGUGUGUGCGGCAGUGCAGAUCAACACAGAGCAGUGACGUACAGCUCAGUCAGCCCAUCCUGGCCAUUCGGAGCAAAAGGGGCUGUAAAUAUCCAGAGCCAGUCAUCUCAGGAGGUCGACUGGGAUUUUGGGAAUGUGUCCCCCUCCUCCACAUCCUUGUUCUUUUCACCUUUCAACCCCAUCAUCAUUUCUUCAGCUGGAGAAUCACACUGUCACACCAGAGUGGACAAGACUGGCCGUUCGCUGUCCAUCUCAGUGAUGUAAUCUCAAUCACUGAUCCCUCUUCAGAUAAGAGUGAACAGAUCUUGCGUGAGCAUGUGAGGUCUUGCAUUGGUCUGUCUCGGCACUACUGAUCCAAAAAGCGUGUCUGAUCCAUUCUGCUUGACUUCUCAGAAUCACAACCAUGUAUCUCAGGAUUAGAUAAAAGCAAAAGGGAAGAAAUGGUGGCUGCAUUAGAUACAAUAACAAACUGCCAGGGAAAAGCACGACAUUGUGCCGUUCCUCCAUGUGCCUGUUGCUGAUCCCGAGAGACAUUUACAACCCAUGCCUGAUGUGAAAGUAUGACAUCAUUGCAAGAUGGAAAUCAUAUUCGGAGGGCUGGGGGGGGGGGAGAAGUAAAAAAACAGCUGCUCAGAAGCUAGCAGGAAAUUUCCAGCAAACUUUGAGUCAAAUAUGUUGCAAGUUUGACUCUUGAAGAACGUCUUUUUAGAUCUGUCUAGAUCAAGAUGUCUUGACGAAAGAUUAAUAGAUAUCCUGUUCCUCAGCGUGGCAUUUUCCUCCUGCGUUCGCUCACAGCUCUGUUAUGUAAAGUUGAUGAGCACAUGCCCAGUGUGUACAGCUAUAAAUCACCUCCGCUCUCCCGCGGCUUCCAGUGUUUACAGUAAACAGUGGGCUGGAAUGCAAAGUUAUCUCAGUCUGUUGGCCAGAACUCAUUGGUUGUGCUACAGGCCGUUAGUUCAACCCAGAGCCCCCCCACCCAACACCCUGCACCUCAUUAUGUGAUUAGGCCUGUUUGCUCUGCCCGGGUUCUGUUGCAGCUCUACACUCAUCCCUUCACCCACAAAACACAAACACAGACGCAAACACAACAAGCCCACUUCCGCCAGAUCCAUUAUGUCCCACUGUUCACCCUAAACAGCAAACUCUUGAAAUCCAAUCAGCCCCCAUUUUGUCUAUACACUGAUUGAUCAUUACAGGACGCAAGGUCAGUUUGGAAAGGACAAGACUUUGAACUCUUAUGAAGUACAGAGGAGCAUUCUCCAGGGAAUGACCCUUUUUGUUUAUUCAUUUGAAAUGAAUUCAGCUAUUGUAUUUAAAUGAGAAGGCAGGAUUCUAAAAUGUUUUGGCACACAACUUAAUGUGAUUUUUUUAUUAUUAUUUUUUAUUCAGCCAGGAUGCCUUAAAUUUAUGACAGUAAAGACAUUUCAUCUUGUUUCAAAAAAUAUUUUUUGAAUAAAUGCUGUUCUUUUGAACUUUUCUAUUCA